rnacentral:misc_RNA from 1 species
CGUCGUCUUCGUUUCUCUUCCAUCCCUUGUCAUAGGAGAUCUCAGUGAAUUCAGCCAAGAUUGAUAGAACUGUUAAAUGCUUAAGUUUGUUCAUUGAUCUUUGAAUGCUUGGCGAACCAAAAAAACACGUUUUUUACGUUAAUGUCUUGAGUUUAUCUUACGUUAAUGUCUUGAGUAUUGGUGCUGAGUGUUUGCUUAUAUAUUCAGGGCCUGUAGCUCAGGUGGUUAGAGCGCACGCCUGAUAAGCGUGAGGUCGGUAGUUCAAGUCUACCCAGGCCUACCAUAAAUUCAGGAGCGUUAUUAUCAGGUUGAAGUUUUAUGGUAGCGUUAGAGAUUGCUAAAGAAAAAAAAGGCAAGAAAAAGGUUUGUUUUUUGAUGCUGUUUGACAAAUAUAUUGGACUGAUUCAGGCUUAGAAUAGAAUACAAAGCGUGUGGGCAAUAAGAUAGGUAAAGCCAGGUGCUUGAUUUAUAUUUGAUUUUAGCUAUCUCAGAAAUUAAUUAUGUAUUUUUCUAUAUUUAUUUCAUAGUAAUAAGCAUGCUAAUCGGGGCCGUAGCUCAAUUGGGAGAGCGCCUGCUUUGCAAGCAGGAGGUCGUCGGUUCGAUCCCGUCCGGCUCCACCAUAUAUGCCGAGCAGUUUGCUUUAAUCAUAUAAGUGUGGAUCUAUAAGCGUUGGGCAAAAAUGAGUACAAAGUGGAUCUAUAAGUGUUUGGACAAAAAUGAGUACGCGAUUUUGAUGUAUUUAACUGCUUUUUUGAGCGAAUAUUGACUGUAUUUGUUUAGCUGACGAAUGGUUUUUUUAUAAUCUGGUUAACUGAUCAUGUUUCUUAAGCCUCAUAAAAACAGUCUAAAAAAAUUAAGGUGAUCUAAAUGCUAUUAAAAAUGGGUUAAGUGUGCAGGUAAGAGUUGUAACGAUCUUGAAAUAUCGUAUAAUACAAUUUCCAAGCCUGGAAGCUUUUAAUAUAAAGCGAAUAAGUAUAAAGCAUGAAGGUAUGCUUUAUAAGCUUGUUUUAUGGGGUUUAGGUCUGGUUGAGGUUUUAUAGACAAGGAGAAGAAGGUAAAAGUUUACCUCUUUUUUAGAGGUAAUUUAACAUCGUAAAUAACUCCGUUUGUCCGUUUGAGGACGAACUUCAGGUUUUAGUCUGACAAAAUCCAUAGCAAUGGAUCAUAAUGUAUGAUUUUCACUGCAUAUGGGUAUUGUUGAGAUCAAGCGUUUUAAGGGCGUCUGGUGGAUGCCUUGGCGCGUGCAGGCGAUGAAGGACGUAGCAUGCUGCGAUAAGUCACGGGGAACUGCAAGCAAGUUUUGAUCCGCGGAUUUCCGAAUGGGGAAACCCGG